UGAGGUGGGACUGUAUCCAGGCGAAGUUGGGCUGUAGGCAGGUGAGGUUGGGCUAUAUGAUGGCGAGGUUGGGCUGUACGAUGGAGAGGUUGGGCUAUAUGAAGGUGAGGUUGGGCUGUAAGAUGGAGAGGUUGGGCUGUAAGAGGGUGAGGUAGGGCUGUAAGAGGGUGAUGUGGGGCUGUAAGACGGAGACGUGGGGCUGUAAGCCGGAGAGGUUGGGCUAUACGCAGGUGAGGUUGGGCUGUAUGCUGGAGAAGUUGGGCUGUAGCUCGGAGAUGUAGGGCUGUAGCUCGGAGAUGUGGGGCUAUAGCUAGGAGAUGUUGGGCUGUAGGAAGGAGACGUUGGUGAAUAAGAUGGGCUUGUGGGAGAAUACGCAGGGCUUGUAGGACUAUAUCCAGGAGAACUAGGACUAUAUGUUGGGGACGUAGGGCUGUAACCAGGGGAAGUAGGACUGUACCCAGGUGAGGUGGGGCUGUAUCCAGGAGAUGACGGGCUGUAUCCAGGAGAUGAAGGGCUGUACCCUGGAGAUGAUGUAGGAGAAAACGCCAUCCCGCCCACAUACGGAGAAAACUGAGCAUCUGAAACAGGAGAUAACCGAAGAUUUGGGCUCAGCAUAUAAUUUGGUGACAUCAUGCCAUCAUGAUAUGGGGUCCCUGAGAUGGGUGAACGGCCAGGAGUCAUGCCAAACUCCAGUCCACCUUCCAUAUAACUGGGCAGAGGGAUCUCAAUAGCUUGUUUAGCAUCUCUUCAUUCAUAUACAAAGCACAAUCACCUGUGCCAAUAGGUGCAAGCUGUCCUAACAUGAUAUUCUCAGUUACACCCCUGAGGUAAUCUGUUUCUGCAUACACAGCAGCAUCAAGAAGAAUGUCCACUGUUUCUUCAAAGGAGCAUCUCAUCAUGGGGCCAGUAUCGUUGCGAUUGAUACCAUGACGGGUGAUGGCCAUCAAGUGACCACGAUAUGUCAUGGUAUCACACAAUAUAGCCAAAUGUCUAUAGUUCACGUAAGACCCAUCAAAUGAUAUGACAACACGCAACUCAUCCAGCAAGGCUUUGCGAACUGCCUCAAUGCCAAGAACUUCAAUAACUUCAAUCAAAUGAUUGCUUGUUGUCCUACUUGCAUCUACAUCUUCAUGGCAAAUUACAGCUAAAAGAUUAACACCUUCGGUGUCAAGCAUCCACUCAUUCUCAGCCUUGAAGCCUUCAUUUUCAUCAAACUUAUUUACCUUGCCAUUCUUUAUGAACACCUUAUUGAUAUCUGGUAUGCCUCGAAGAGCCAUUUCUGUAAGCAUGUUACCCUCAAUCUUUUUGAGGAAGACAUCAUCCUCAGCAGAUUCAUCAUUCAACUCACCUUUAGGGGCUUCAUCAUUCAUAAUACGAAUACGAAGGAUAAGCUUUUCAGCAUUAUCAUCAUUAAAUAUGCACGUUAGAUCACUAUCAAAUUCAGCAUUAAUCUUAUGGGAAAUAUCAGCCAUGUUGAGUUUCUUAUCCACCAUCAUUUCUCUGUUUAACUCUAUGCGAAGCAACCACGGAGAGAUCUUGUCGGGGUCAACAUCAUCAUCUGGCAUCUCAAAGUAGGACGUCACAAAUUCAACAUCUUCCUCAAUAAUAGUGCUCUUAGGAUCUGGAUCGUACCAUACCUCUGUUGCUUGUGUUACACUCCGCAAGGUUGUAUACUCCAGAGCGCACUGGACAUUUUUGGCCUUCUCCUUAGUUUUGCUUACACCAGGCUUCAAGUAUACCGAGAGNAGGUAAUCUGUUUCUGCAUACACAGCAGCAUCAAGAAGAAUGUCCACUGUUCUCAAAGGAGCAUCUCAUCAUGGGGCCAGUAUCGUUGCGAUUGAUACCAUGACGGGUGAUGGCCAUCAAGUGACCACGAUAUGUCAUGGUAUCACACAAUAUAGCCAAAAUGUCUAUAGUUCACGUAAGACCCAUCAAAUGAUAUGACAACACGCAACUCAUCCAGCAAGGCUUUGCGAACUGCCUCAAUGCCAAGAACUUCAAUAACUUCAAUCAAAUGAUUGCUUGUUGUCCUACUUGCAUCUACAUCUUCAUGGCAAAUUACAGCUAAAAGAUUAACACCUUCGGUGUCAAGCAUCCACUCAUUCUCAGCCUUGAAGCCUUCAUUUUCAUCAAACUUAUUUACCUUGCCAUUCUUUAUGAACACCUUAUUGAUAUCUGGUAUGCCUCGAAGAGCCAUUUCUGUAAGCAUGUUACCCUCUAAUCUUUUUGUAGGAAGACAUCAUCCUCAGCAGAUUCAUCAUUCAACUCACCUUUAGGGGCUUCAUCAUUCAUAAUACGAAUACGAAGGAUAAGCUUUUCAGCAUUAUCAUCAUUAAAUAUGCACGUUAGAUCACUAUCAAAUUCAGCAUUAAUCUUAUGGGAAAUAUCAGCCAUGUUGAGUUUCUUAUCCACCAUCAUUUCUCUGUUUAACUCUAUGCGAAGCAACCACGGAGAGAUCUUGUCGGGGUCAACAUCAUCAUCUGGCAUCUCAAAGUAGGACGUCACAAAUUCAACAUCUUCCUCAAUAAUAGUGCUCUUAGGAUCUGGAUCGUACCAUACCUCUGUUGCUUGUGUUACACUCCGCAAGGUUGUAUACUCCAGAGCGCACUGGACAUUUUUGGCCUUCUCCUUAGUUUUGCUUACACCAGGCUUCAAGUAUACCGAGAGAGAGGGUGUUUUAAUUUUCUUAGCAACAUUAAUAAUCUCCCUCAACCUUGGAACACCUAAAGUUAACAAUUCUUGGCACUCACACCAGCAUAGUGAAAUGUAUUGAGGGUCAUCUGUGUAGCAGGUUCACCAAUGGAUUGUGCAGCAACACAUCCUAUCAUUUCACCAGCAGCAACAAGUGACUGAAGAAAACGGGAUUCUAUCUCGCCAACUACCCAGUCAAAAGCCUCACGGGUAAGUCUGUACUCCUUCAGGACCCUUUUACUUGCUAAAGCACUACGAAGCAAUAUAUUGAAGAAAAGAGUAGCAUUCUUCUGUGCUUCCAAACUCAGAUAAUCAUCACCAACAACCACCUUAAGCCUUUCUUGUAACUUAUCAACAGCUUCUACAAUCUCCAUUGGAUGCAUAUCAGACGGUCUCCGAAAAUCAACUCUAAAGGUCUUCUGUGCAUUCAAAACAAGCCUCUUGAUGUUGACAGGGAGGGGCCAAGAAUUGUCACCCGUGGUGGCAAUCUCUGUUCCAAGUUGAUACCUAUCGGCUUCAAGUUUCUGAACCUCUGCAUCAAACACACUGCGGAUUUCACGAAUCGUUUUCAGAUCUUCCACAGCUUCAGGUAACAUAUAAUUAGGAUUCCAGUUUGGGUGAUCAAUCUCAUAUUUGUACAUGUCAUUGAAAUCCGAUCUCUUCAACUUCAGUGAUUCCAAAGGCUGUGAUUCAAUCCAAACUGCAUCCAUACCAUCUUCCCCGUACAGAAACUGAAUCACAUCACCUAACGAAUUCCUAACAGUCCCAUCAUACUUAACCAUGAUAUCUUCCAUAGCCUUCACCAAUCGCCUCUGAAUAUAUCCAGUCUCAGAAGUUUUCACUGCAGUGUCAAUAAGACCUUCCCUACCACCCAUGGCAUGGAAAAAGAACUCUUGAGGAGACAAUCCUCGAAGAUAUGAGUUCUCCACAAAACCACGACUCUCUGGACCAUAAUCAUCUUUGGUGAAGUGUGGAAGUGUGCGAUCCACAAAACCAAAAGGAAUUCGCUUGCCUUCAACAUUCUGCUGACCCACACAUGCAGUCAUCUGAGAAAUAUUGAUGAAACUUCCCUUAGACCCUGCAGUGACCAUAGCUUUGAGGUUGUUACUUUCUGCCAAGCUCUUCUGAGCACUGCUUCCAGCAUCAUCACGAGCCUUAUUCAACACCUGAAGGCACAAAACAUAUAUAAGGGAAUCACCAGGCUGCAGCAAGGAAAUCAAAAUUUUUAACAAACCUGGUUAACUCUGUUCUCGAACGAUUCCAUCAUUGUUCUUCCUGGCUCAGCUUCCAAUUGCUUUUCUUGUGCAGCCCUGAUAAGUUCAUUCACCUCAUUCUUAGCUUUGUUAAUAGUUUCAGAGAUCUUCGUCAUUGUAUCAUGAUCAGCAAUUGUAUCUCCAAUUCCCAUGCUAAAAGCGUUCUGCAAAAGCCAAUAAUUGACCAGCCAUUGUGUAUGUCCCAAAAAUUUCCGAGCUGCAUCUGGACCGACUUCUUCCCUGAGACCAGUAUACAUUAUAUUAAACACAUAAAUAUGAAUAAAGAAUCUUUCGGGCUUUCAGUUCAUUAUUAUAAUAUUUAUUACUCCUUGUUUCAUGUGCCAUAUCAUAUGUUUUGAUGUCACAAAUGCUAUAAUAUUCACACAGAAGAGCUACUAGAGUGGAGGAAGACUGAUAUAUGCAAAAGCUAAAUUGUUAAAGAGUACAGAAAUUUUCAAUAAGAUACUCAUGUAGUUUUAAACUUCUGAAGAAAAUUAAUCUUCUCUUCUACAAAUUCCGAUGGAGUAAGCAAAGGAACACUUUCUUGAAAUGGCAUUAGUUUUAUUGAUAUCUAUAAUGAGUGCAAGCAUGGAGAUUGAUAAAGUGUUUUGUCUGCAAAGAAACAGUACCCAUUUUUUUGUGCCAAAAGGAGAAUCUUUUUGCUAGUGAAAAGAGAGGGUAUUUCAUUGGUAACUCAAGCAAGUUCUUUUGAAAGUAUUACUUCUUCAAUCAACAUAUUGCGAGUUCUGACUCAUUUGCGAGAUCCUAGAAUAUAUAAAUAAAAGACACCAACUUCAUUUAAAGUAUUUGCAUACAUAUGCUCCCAAUCCCCAUUGCCCAUAGAGCAAUGGACCAAUUUAAUACAACAUGAAUUCUUCAGAAGAUAAAAGUGAAAGUCAUGCUUUUGCUCUUAAAUUUAAGGUUGAACGAAAAAUGUGACCCGCAAACAGCCCCAUACCUCCAUUUUACCCAACUUUCCACUUAUUACAUUUUGCUACUAGAUACUUCAGGUAUGUUACCCGCAAUCAGCCCCAAUUCAUAAUAUGGAUAAGUUGGGUGGGCGUUUAGGAGACAAUAGUUUCCUUUCAAAACCCACCAAAUGCAGAAAUGGUACUGCAAAAAUUCCAGAAAGAACGUACCAAAUAACAUGUAUGAGACUUCCACUAGAUGACCCGAGUGUUUUCUUGCAUAGGGUGCCUGAAAGUAACUCCCCUUUUUCUAUCCGUACUUGAGUAUCCCCAGGAGUAAUAAAUCCUUUUUCAGUUUCUUGAUGCCAUGAAGAAUACCUUAAUAGAUUUAUCUGUCUUGGAAUGAUUAAAUUAAAUACUUGUUUCCCAGUCCAAAGAGGCUUAGGUUUCAGAAUUGUUGGAGCAGGUACUUUGCCAUCAAAAUCCUCCCACCACAUAAGGAUGUUCAUAAAAACAUCCUGCGAACAAUACAGACAGCGAUAUCAGAUUGAAUGUGGACACUUACCUAAAAAUUACAUAAUGAUGACAGAAAAUCAAAUGUUACCUUGUCAAUAAAAGUAUCUCUCUUAGUGAUUUUGCGACAUCCUAGUAGUGUAUCCUGCACAAUACCCAUUACAGGUCGAUUUGAUUGAGGUGACACGAUGCAUUUUGGAACCAUCAUUAAUUCCAGAACUUCGGCUCUAGUUUCAAAUGACUGGGGCACGUGCAUAUUCAUUUCAUCUCCAUCAAAAUCAGCAUUGUAGGGUGAGGUAACAGACAGAUUUAAGCGGAAUGUUGAAUAUGGCAUAAUCUUGAUUCUGUGGCCCAUAAUGGACAUCUUAUGGAGACUCGGUUGCCGAUUGAACAGGACAAAGUCUCCAUCAUUUAAAUGUCUCUCAACCUGUACCAUCAAAUAAUAGGAAUCAGGUGUCAAAAGGAAUCCAAUGCUUGAUCAUUCUCAAUUAUAUAGCUGGGAGUCUCACCUUAUAUCCAAGUUCUAGAUGCUGAUCACUACUCUUUUUCAAGUACCGGAGAUCAAGCCUCUGUCCAUCAUCCCUAAUAAUAUAUUUUGCGCCAGUUUUACCAGGAGGGGGAUGAGGUCCAUAUUCCACAAGCUCUUUCAAUCUAUUUUCAAGGUCAAUAUCUGGUUAACAAGAAUAACCAAAAAGUAUAGAGGGAUCACUAUCAAGAAAUAUGGUAAGAGUGCCUAACCUUUCGAUGUUAUAUGGAGUUACAGUUUCAGGAUAUGUAAGAUUUAAGGCAAUACUCCAAGGCACACCCAGCUGGUCGAUGUUGAUUGUUGGGUCAGGUGUAAUCACAGUCCGAGCCGAAAAAUCUACUCGCUUACCCAUCAAGUUACCUCUGAUCCUACCAUCUUUUGCCUUAAGCCUGCUACAUAUUGAUUUAAUGGGUCUGCCAGAUCUUUGGGUAGCCUGAUGUAUACAAGGAUACUUCACUUGUUAGAUAAAUGAUGUUCCAGGAACUGCAUCCACAGUCUCAAUAUACUGAAAUAAUAUAACAUACUCUUGGUUGACCAGGUAAAUCGUUAUCAAAGUAUGUAGCCACAUGGAACUGCAGCAACUGUGCAAACUCAGAGAUGAUGUGUGCAGGAGCCCCAUUCCGCUCCUGCCUCUUUAAGUUCUCAUUAUGCCUAAUGAUCAUGGCCAGUUGAUGAGUUAAAUCAUCCUGCAUAAAUUGAUUCAAUUAUUAGAUUCUCCUGCAACUUAAAAGCAGCAAUCCGAGGAACAUGCAAUUGAUUGACUUGAUCAGUUUGCAGUGAACAGAACCCGAUACACUUAUCUGACCUAAAGGAACAAUUAGGGGUAAUCUAAACACCCAUGACAUUGUAGAGAUCAAAAGGAGAAGUCAUGCCUCACUCCGAGAAGAAGUAUCCAUCAUUACAGAAGGCCUAACUGGAGGAGGAGGGAUUGGAAGAACUUGAAGAAUCAUCCAGUCAGGGCGAGCAUAUUUUGGAUUCAAGCCCAACAACUGACAAUCUUCAUCAGUAAUUCUCUUCAGUAUGCUGAGCACCUGAAACAAAAAGGAAAUAGAGAUUGUUGGGAUUAGCGCAUAAAUCAAUCUAUCACAUUAUCCAGGCUGGAAAAAAAAGUUUGAAUCCCUAUUCUCUGGCAAUUUAUGAUAUAUGAUACCUUCUCUGCAGAGAGAAGUUGUUUUCGUUCAACAGGUUCAGGCAUCUGGUCCUGGUCAUCACUUUUCUUCUUCUGAAUCUUGUAUUCAGCAACCAUUUUCAUCCCAUCUAUAGAAAUCUUUGGCUGCUGAGCACCGCAUCCACCCCUAGACUUCUUCACAGGUUCUUCCGAAUCUUGACCUCGCACAUCGAUCUCAUCACCUCCUUCACAUUUGGAUUUGUUUUUGCAGGCAUCUAAUAUCUUCUUUAAUCUAUUCUUAGGGUUUCUAAUUCUCAUUGCUUGCUUGAACUUGGGAUCGUCCUAGAAAAAUUAACAAGGGAUCAAAAUACAUUGCAAAAGAAAACGAUUGUUCCAACUUCCAAGUAACUUUAUUUCCAUUUGAAGUAUAAUAUUCAGGCAAUAAUGAAAAUAACUAACUUUUACAACAGCAACACUCCUAGGAGAUGCAUCCAGAUGAUGAAAUACCUCAAACUGCUUCUAUCUUACCAAUAUGCAUUUCUAUAAAAGUAACACAAUUAUUGAAGACAUAACAGAACCUAGAAGCCUAAAACUGGAUCGUUGCUAGUCAUAAGUCUUACUAUCCAGUCACUCUUGCAAGUAAUAAGAAUGUUACAAUUAAAUCAGUUGCCCAGUUCAGGAUGGUCAUGAAUAAGACAGAAGUCUGACCCUCCUAGUAUACGAACAUAUACAUGAAAUAAGCAUUUUCCGUGAAUCCAGCAUAUGUUAUACACUUCUGAAAAAUUCAGUCUGCUACUCAGGCCUCACAACAGCGGAAUCAAUAGUCAUACCCAAUAUGAACCAAGUGAGCAUGACUGUACAAAUUCAUACUACUUAAACCGAAAACGUCCAUAACUUCAAUCUAACUACUCGGGAAAUGUACAAUACCUCAUCCGCUAAAAUCUUAGAGCAAUUGAAGCAGACACUGCGGAGAAUACUGAGCACAGUCUUCAUGAAGCCAAUGUGAAACAUAGGUUUGGCGAGCUCAAGGUGACCGAAGUGACCGGGGCAGUCAGCCAUGUUCGCCAUACAAGUCUCGCACUUCAUCUUCCGAUCAAUCGUCCCCAGACGCGGGUCGCUCAAACCACCGAUCUUCGGCUUGCCUCUUUCCGUCGUCUCGCUGUGCUCUAUAUGCACAACAGACAUUUGUCUCUACAAAACACACCAUAAAACAAUAGACCAUCAUUUCCAACUCAAUCACACACUCAAUGCCGAAACUGAAAGUUCAAAACAUUCAAAGAAGUGAGAAUUACGAUCUCAUCGGGGCUGAGAAUGCCGAAUUGGACGACGCGGACUUUCGCGACCUCUGCCGGCGAGAAGGGGAACCGCAGAUCCAUUGCGACACCGGAGAUUCUACCCUAGGGUUUUCGAUUAUGAUUUAUUAUGCUAGCUGAUAUAUAAUAAUUCCAAAAUUAGAAACAAAUAUGGUUUUCAAGUACUUCAAAUUAUUCGCGGUUUCUGUUAAGUAACUGAUUUUUGGGGUUUUUGAAGAAAACUUUUUUCACGCUGCGCUCUUCUCUGAAGGAGGAGAGGCGGCUUUGAGACCAAAGAAGAGAAUGAGGGGUUGAAGGGGUAUUUAAAGAGAUGGAUGGCUUCGAAGUCGGCGCUUAAUGGGGUUGUUUGGCUACACAGUUAUGAGCUGGACAUCUUCCUCUCGUUUGGUCCAUCUAUUAAAAAAUCUUCUUAAUCUAUUUUUAAACAUAAUUUCAUCAACUAUUAUCCUUAUAAUUUUCAUUUUUUGUAAGACUCAUUUUUCACUUAUCAAGUAUACAAUUAAUUUUUAUUAAAAUUCAUGUCACCCUCCUUUAUAAAGAUCUUUGAGAAAUGAAGGGAGUGUUAAUUCCAAAUAUUUGGUAAAAUAAGUACAUAAAUACUCAUUUCGUCCCAACUUUUAGUAUCAAUUUAAGAAUGACACGUGUUUUAAUAAAGUUGUUAAGUGUGUUGUGAGUGGAAUAAGGGUCUCGCAUUUUACGUGAAUGUUAAAAUAAUUAAAGUGGAGUAAGGGUCUCACCUACUUUUACUAAAAAUAAAAAUGAAUAUCAAAAUAUGGAACGGCCAAAAAAGGAAAUAUGAAUACUAAAAGUUGGGACGAAGAUAGUAGUUUACAAGCUCUACAAAUAAGUUUCUACAAUUUAUAAGCUUUUCAAACUACAAACUUUUUACCAUAAAUUACUUUUUCAUAAUUUUAUACUUCCUUCAUCCCAAUUCNCUUAUAAUUUUUCAUUUUUUUGUAAGACUCAUUUUUUCACUUAUCAAGUAUACAAUUAAUUUUUAUUAAAAUUCAUGUCACCCUCCUUUAUAAAGAUCUUUGAGAAAUGAAGGGAGUGUUAAUUCCAAAUAUUUGGUAAAAUAAGUACAUAAAUACUCAUUUCGUCCCAACUUUUAGUAUCAAUUUAAGAAUGACACGUGUUUUAAUAAAGUUGUUAAGUGUGUUGUGAGUGGAAUAAGGGUCUCGCAUUUUACGUGAAUGUUAAAAUAAUUAAAGUGGAGUAAGGGUCUCACCUACUUUUACUAAAAAUAAAAAUGAAUAUCAAAAUAUGGAACGGCCAAAAAAGGAAAUAUGAAUACUAAAAGUUGGGACGAAGAUAGUAGUUUACAAGCUCUACAAAUAAGUUUCUACAAUUUAUAAGCUUUUCAAACUACAAACUUUUUACCAUAAAUUACUUUUUCAUAAUUUUAUACUUCCUUCAUCCCAAUUCAAUAGGCCACAAGACAAGGCUUGGACAUGGAUAUUAAGAAGCGAAUAGUUUAUAAUAAAAUACGAGAGAGAAAGUAGCUUUUUUUAGAGUAAAUUUGUGAAAAAAGUAGGAGAGAGUAGAGAUAAUUUUGUGGGAUCACAAUGAUAUUUGAUGUACAUAAUGAGUUGUGCGAAGGUGUUUGUUAUAUACUAUGAUUUUUUAUUUUAGGAAGUGACCUAUUGAAUUGGAACGUCCAAAUAAGGAUUCAUGACAUAUUUAAAUGGAACUGAGGGAGUAAUAUAUUUUACAAAAAUUAUUCAAUUAUACUUUAUUACUAUUUUCAUCAUAUACACUUUAAACCACUUUGCAAAAAUUAACUCAAUCAUAUAAAUACUUUCACAACUUAUAAGCUCUUACAAAAAUACAUUUUUAAAAUUUUUGAAACAUUUUAUAAAUUGCUACAAUUAUAAAUUUCUUAAAAUAAGCUUAUCCAAACAUCCCCUUAAUUCUACAACAAAAUUUUAACAAAUGGAGUAUAAAUGAGCUAUGAUUGGUAACAUAUUUUUCCUACAAAAAUAAUAAGCGAUAGGUAACAUAACUAGCGUGGGAACUAAGAAUCAAUCUGGUCUAUUAAUUUGAUUAAAUGAUCAUGAUUGAUUUCCAUAUUGAACAAUACAUAUAUAUGAUAAUGCAUCAGUUUAUGCCAGAAAUUAUGCCAUGCUGAUAAAUAAUACUCCAUUCGUCCCAAACGAAAUGUCCUAUUUCUUUUCGGUACGGAAAUUAAGAAAUGUGUAUAAAAUAGAUUAAGUGGGUUGGUGAAAAUUAUUUAAAUAUUAAGUAUAGAGAGAGAGUGUAGUGCCAAAAAAGGAAACAUGACAUUUCGUUUGAGAUAGCCCAAAAAGGAAAACAGUACAUUUCGUUUGGAACGGAGGGAGUAUAGUGCAUACUUAUAAUAAACAACGUAGUUUUAAGUGUGGUGCCCACUUCGGGGGAGCUUGUUGGAUUUAUAAUAAACGACGUAGUUUUCAUAUAUACAAAAAAUCCUCUUCCAUUGAGAUGGUUUCUUACAUUCUUGGCUUCAGCUGCGCAUGGCUUAUCUAUGCAUGCAUUAUUUUAGUUAUAAGCAAUUUAGUAAAUAAAAUAACAAAAUGGAUGGAUUAACAUUGCCACAAAACAUGAUGACACUAUUAGUAUUUUACUUCAAAGGGGAAGAAAAAAAAACUUUAUACGAAUGAAAGAAUGCCAUGUUAAACAAUCUCUCUUAGCCAAAUUGGAAAGCUAUGAGACCAAACAAAUGGACUACAAAUUAAAAAAGAGGUUAUAAAGUGACACGGGACUUAUACGCCACGUGCGGAGUUCAGCUGCCCGACUGCCGGAGUUCAGCUGCCCGACUGCCGGCCUGGUAUGAAAAUGAUUGGGUUAGGGUAGGGUGUCCCAUGCAACAAAUCCUCAUUCCACCUUCCCUUUGUCAGUUUCAUUUACCACACUAAGCCAUGUAAACAAUACCAACACAAUCACAAAAUCAGCAAAUCUAUUCGAACUCGCUUGGCCUAUGGUGAAAGCAGGAUGGAAAAGAAAGCAAAAUAAGCAAAGGUAAAUAUACCUGCUUGGACUGGAAGGAGAAAAAGAUGGUGAUGUUGGGCUGCAAAACCACAGAAAAUAAUAUGUCAAGGUAGCAUUUGAAAGAGAGUUUCACCAGUUCAGAAUAUAUCCUAGUCUUGUCGGGGAAAUAAAACAAAAAGAGUAAUACUCUAGGGAACAAUUUAUCCAGCUUCCUCUGUGGACAAUCAAGUAUAGAAACAGAGUAAUACAUUUAACCAAGGUUAUAUUUGUUAGCAAACUUGAAGAGCAAAAAUUAAAAUAAGGCUUGCCAAAAGUUACCUGAGACUCGGAGAAUAUGGACUGUACGGACUUGAAGGUGUGAUUUUUGGACUUGUAGGUGAAUAUGCUUGUGAAGGGCUAUACCUUGCUGAAGGAUUGUAACUUGGUGAGGUCAGACUGUAAGUCGGUGAGGUGGGACUGUAUCCAGGUGAAGUUGGGCUGUAGGCAGGAGAGGUAGGGCUGUAUGAAGGUGAGGUUGGGCUGUACGAUGGAGAGGUUGGGCUGUAAGAUGGUGAGGUUGGGCUGUAAGAGGGAGACGUGGGGCUGUAAGCCGGAGAAGUUGGGUUAUAAGCAGGUGAGGUUGGGCUGUAAGAGGGAGACGUGGGGCUGUAAGCCGGAGAAGUUGGGCUAUACGCAGGUGAGGUUGGGCUGUAUGCUGGAGAAGUUGGGCUGUAGCUCGGAGAUGUAGGGCUGUAGCUCGGAGAUGUGGGGCUAUAGCUAGGAGAUGUUGGGCUGUAGGAAGGAGACGUUG
rnacentral:lncRNA from 1 species